rnacentral:misc_RNA from 1 species
AAUAAGUGUUCUACUGCACUUUUUAAACAAGUACUCACCUUGUGUGCAAUGUUUGCUGUCGAGUCGUUUAUUCGUCUCGACAGCACAAUACCAACCUUUUAUUGUAAAAUUUUUGUCUGAAGCUAUUUCGAAUAUAUAAUUCUAAAUACAACUUUCAACAACGGAUCUCUUGGCUCU